GACGAACGCUGGCGGCGUGCUUAACACAUGCAAGUCGAACGGAAAGGCCCUUCUUUUGUGGGGUGCUCGAGUGGCGAACGGGUGAGUAACACGUGAGUAACCUGCCCUUGACUUUGGGAUAACUUCAGGAAACUGGGGCUAAUACCGGAUAGGAGCCCCUGCUGCAUGGUGGGGGUUGGAAAGUUUCGGCGGUUGGGGAUGGACUCGCGGCUUAUCAGCUUGUUGGUGGGGUAGUGGCUUACCAAGGCUUUGACGGGUAGCCGGCCUGAGAGGGUGACCGGCCACAUUGGGACUGAGAUACGGCCCAGACUCCUACGGGAGGCAGCAGUGGGGAAUAUUGCACAAUGGGCGGAAGCCUGAUGCAGCAACGCCGCGUGCGGGAUGACGGCCUUCGGGUUGUAAACCGCUUUCGCCUGUGACGAAGCGUGAGUGACGGUAAUGGGUAAAGAAGCACCGGCUAACUACGUG
rnacentral:rRNA from 1 species